rnacentral:rRNA from 1 species
GACGAACGCUGGCGGCGUGCUUAACACAUGCAAGUCGAACGGAAAGGCCCUGCUUUUGUGGGGUGCUCGAGUGGCGAACGGGUGAGUAACACGUGAGUAACCUGCCCUUGACUUUGGGAUAACUUCAGGAAACUGGGGCUAAUACCGGAUAGGAGCUCCUGCUGCAUGGUGGGGGUUGGAAAGUUUCGGCGGUUGGGGAUGGACUCGCGGCUUAUCAGCUUGUUGGUGGGGUAGUGGCUUACCAAGGCUUUGACGGGUAGCCGGCCUGAGAGGGUGACCGGCCACAUUGGGACUGCGAUACGGCCCAGACUCGUACGGGAGGCAGCAGUGGGGAAUAUUGCACAAUGGGCGGAAGCCUGAUGCAGCAACGCCGCGUGCGGGAUGACGGCCUUCGGGUUGUAAACCGCUUUAGCCUGUGACGAAGCGUGAGUGACGGUAAUGGGUAAAGAAGCACCGGCUAACUACGUG